rnacentral:rRNA from 1 species
UACGAAGGGGGCUAGCGUUGCUCGGAAUCACUGGGCGUAAAGCGCACGUAGGCGGACUUUUAAGUCAGGGGUGAAAUCCUGGAGCUCAACUCCAGAACUGCCUUUGAUACUGGAAGUCUUGAGUUCGAGAGAGGUGAGUGGAACUGCGAGUGUAGAGGUGAAAUUCGUAGAUAUUCGGAAGAACACCAGUGGCGAAGGCAGCCAUCUGGACCGACACUGACGCUGAGGCGCGAAAGCGUGGGGAGCAAACAGG